AGACAGGUGUCUCGAAUGCAUUCAGCAAAUGGCGUGCGAGCAUUAAUGGUGGCAACAGAGGAGAGAGGUGCAUUUUAUUACGGGAGCUCUGAGGCUAAAUAUCUACAGUCCACGAUGGGGAAGAUCCUGAGCUGUGCUGAUGUCACAGUUAACUUUACGCUCUUCACUCAUGUGAAGGAAGAAUAUCACAGAAUGUUGACGGUGGAGCUCCAGCUGAGAGAAGCAGAAGGUUGGCUCAGCUGGAGCGAAGACUUCACACUGGGUCCAGGAAGAGAGGCAGCUGAACCUUUGGUCACAGAUCUUUAACAGAUAUAGUAUGGGAUAAAUCUACUAGGUGUUGCAAUAGGGAAUGUCUUGUUGGUAGACCUCUAGAAAGAUAUGGGUGUAUCUAGAGUUUAGGUGAGUGAGCAGGUAGGUAGGUAGAUACGUAGACAGACAGAUAUUGCAGUGUUAAAUACCAGAUAAUUCUUAAAGAAGGCCAGUUGUGUUGAUUAAUGGUCUUAUCUAUUUUCUAAAUUUAUACCCCACUCUUCCUCCCGGGGUGGCAAACAAAACAAGCAAUGAAAUGGUUAUUUUUUUAUAAAAAAAAACCAAUUCCAAUAUAGAUUGAGAUUCAAGCAGUGCCAAGACUGUCCUAAAUUCCAGGCUCUAUACAAAUGUUAUUGAAAGGACUUUGGAUGCCUGGACUGGAAUGCCAGAUAUUGUGAUAUGGUUUCAGGACAUUUGAAUCCAUCCUUAUUUCAGAUCGAUUCCCCUCCCUGCCCCAAACUGCUGUCCAAAACUGUCAUCUUUGAGCCACUUUGUAGAAGGGCACAUUUUAAAAGAACGAGAAUCCUUGGAAGAUGACAGCACUUUGUCAUAUGCAUAGGCAUCCAUUUGAUGACUAAUUUAUAUAAGAGAGUAUUAUACCUUUAGAUUGGUUUUGGGACCGAUGAUUUACAUGGCAGUUCUAGAUAGCUUUUCUGGGGCUGCCUUGUGUUGAAUUGUAGCCCUUCUUGAACUGGCAGUGUAUAAUAUGAAGUGUUUUUGUUGUCACCUCUCAAAAUCUUUGCCUAGUAACCCUGAUGCUCCUUGUUCUGCUGAGGACCAGUUUAUACAUUCAGCAGAAGUUAGUAGUAGAAAACCCCCAAGACUUUAACACUUCAGGAUGCAGAUCCAGUAAUGGUGUUUGAAGGCUCCUCUAGCUAACACACGUUAUCUGUUUUGUCUGUCUAAAGCAGCCUUUCCCAACCUGGUGCCCCACAGAUGUUGAUGGGCUACCACAUCUCUGAUCAUUGGCCAUGCUGGACCGAUGGCCACAGAUUAGAGGAGUAUAGCCUAAAGAAUUAACCACCUUUCCAUUACAGUACAAACACUCCAAAUUAUGUUUUAAAAAAUGAUUUUGUAGUGCAGAGUCGAUACUUUGUACAGCUGCCCAGUACACCAAACACAUUUUUUUUACAAUGUUAAUUAUUCCUCAAACAAGAUAUUUUUAUUUACUACACCUUUCAUAAGAGCUGGUUUCUGGGGGCUGAGGCACUUUAGACCUCCUAAAAAAAUUUUUUAGGGGGCUGCCCCCUCCCAUUGUUUAGGUGGGCACAGAGCAACAGCACGAUGUUGCACAAUAUUGUGUCUGAUCCCCUCAAUGUUCUUCAGAAGAUGGCACCUCCAACACCAUCACAACAUUUUUAUAUCACUAGAAAAUGAGAAAUUUUUUAAAAAUCGCAAAUGCUAAGCUCAAAAUUUUCAUUUGUCUUGAAAAUGAGACCACAAACUAGGCCUUUAAGGGAGUGCAUUGUGCAAUUCCAGAAUCAUAUCCCAGAAGGCCCACUCCUAGGCCUACUCUUUGUUCCUGGAAAGAUGGCAUUUGGAGCAGAACCUCAUCAGCAGAUCUGCAGAUCUUAAAAAACUCUGGUGGAGAACUUGCAGUGGUGUAGUGUGGUUUUUUUGGUGCCUGCAGUGUGUGCAUUUGUUGCACAACAUAGUAACAAAAUCAAUAAUUUUAAAAAGCCAUAGAUUGUUUAAGUAGCCAAUGGCCCAGGAGGAGAGGAAUCUUUUUGCCUGGCUAAAUCCUAUCAGGCUUUUGGAUAUGCCCACUAUAUCUAUGUUUCUUUAUACUGUGUGCGUCAUGUACUGUAAUGCCUCUAUCUUGGCUUGAAGACUUCUGGCAUUAGCAUAUAAAUGCCUUUACAUCAUAUCUCUUGCCCAAUGCAAUUGUGUUCGGUUUAUUUAUUUUUAGUAAGACCCUUUUGUCCCUUUAGCAUUUCUGGUUUCCACUCCUGUUGCAGGAAAAGGUGACUCAAGUAAUUGUUUGUUUAUUUACAAUAUUUCUAUGUCACCUUUCUUGACAAUGCUCAUUUGCGACAGCUUACGACAACAGGAAAGUUACAAGGCCAGCAAUACAAGAGUAAUUACCCUUAAAUGUUUUUAAGCGUUUUUAUUUAUACUUUUAAUGUUCCCUGUAAGCUGCUUCGACGUUCUGCUAAAAUCAAGUGGGAUAUAUAUUCUGUACAUAAAUAAAUAUAUUCUGUUCUA